UUAUAUGAGCAUGAGCUUUCAUCUUAAGCUGUGUGUUGGGUUCCUUGGAUACAAGUUUUCUAAUUUGAAGAAGACUGGACUUUAUUUGGAGAAUUUGGUUUCGACUUUCGUAAGAUAAGAGUGAUGAAGAUCUUCUUGGAAAUCUUCAAUCUGUUGGUUUACUGUGUAUCAACCCUUUGGGCUUUGCAGGAGAGGAGAUUUGAAGAAAUUUUUAGCUAUGAACAAUCACAUUAAUUUUGGUGAGGUAGUCAGAAAAUGAAGGCGACCACCUCAGUAACAUGGAGGAAGGGAAAUUCCUCGCCUAGAUCCACACUAGCUUCAUGAGAAAAAGCUUACAGGAUUUCUUCCAAAGAGGCGACAAAUAAGCAAUUAGUCUCAAGGAACAUAUCGCAUGAAAGCUCUCAAGGAAGUGUUAAAAGGCGAAAUAAUGUCGCUUUCCCUCCAACCUCCAAGCCCUAAGUCAGAACAGUCCCUUUAUGAAGGUGACUUCUUCUUCUUCUUCUUCUUCUUUUUUUUUUUUUAAUCUCCUUAUUUGAAGGAAGAUCUUCCAUUAAAUCUACUAGAUACGAUUGGUGAAAAGGCAUACAUACGCAUGUGGAGAAUUUGAAUCCAAUUGAGAAAUUUUUCUUGAUUCUUAUUGUAUCUUCCAGUGAGGAAACUCUUUGAAUUCGAACCAUCUUUCAUCA